ACGACCUUACUUGAACAGGAUCUGUUCUAUAGGCUCGUACCUCUGUGUCCUUGAAUGCUAAGGAGACGGGAAUCAAAAUCUGGUGGAUGAAUCAAGACCGCGUGAUCAGAGCGUGAUUAAAAGUUGCACGAUCUGUUUAUCGUUGCCGCUGCGGAGGAUCGUUCUCGAUCGGCUGUUUGUUGGUCGAGAUGAUCACGCGGUUGUCUGACAGACU